AUUGAACGCUGGCGGCAGGCCUAACACAUGCAAGUCGAGCGAGCGGCGGACGGUUGAGUAAUGUCUGGGACACUGCCUGAUGGAGGGCGCUAACUACUGGAAACGGUAGCUACUCCCGCAUACCAUCCGAUGUUCCCAGAUUGGAUGAGCUAGUAGGUGGGGUAAUGGCUCACCUAGGCGACGAUCCCUAGCUGGGCUGAGAGGAUGACCAGCCACAAUGGAACUGAGACACGGGCCAGCCUCCUACGGGAGGCAGCAGUGGGGAAGAGGUCACAAUGGGCGCAAGCCUGAUGCAGCCAGGCCGCGUGUGUGAAGAAGGCUUUAGGGUUGGAAAGCACUUUCGGUGGGGAGGCGUUACCCGCAGAAGAAGCACCGGCUAACGCCGUGCCAGCCGCCGCGGUAAUUC
rnacentral:rRNA from 1 species